GCCCCCAUCGACUAGCGGUCCAGGUCGCGGCCCUUUCAAGGCCGUCGCGCGGGUUCGAAUCCCGCUGGGGGCA
rnacentral:tRNA from 1 species